CUAGUACUCCCUCCGUCCGAAAAUACUUGUCCGAUAAAUGAAUGUAUGUAGAUAUAUUUUAGUUCUACAUACAUUCAUUUCUAUUCUUUUUUGUGACAAGUAAUUUCGGACGGAGGAAGGUUACU
rnacentral:pre_miRNA from 1 species